ensembl:rRNA 5S_rRNA 5S ribosomal RNA
GCUUACGGCCAUACCACCCUGAACACGCCCGAUCUCGUCUGAUCUCGGAAGCUAAGCAGGGUCGGGCCUGGUCAGUACUUGGAUGGGAGACCUCCUGGGAAUACCAGGUGCUGUAAGCU